UUCAUGUCAUGGGCUAGUAAUAAUAAUUAAGAUCUAUUACUGCAAAGCAAAAAAAAAAAAAUUAAAAAUUGAAAACGAAAAAUUAAGAUCUACUACUGUAAAGGAACAAAGUCUUCAAUUUGUUUUUGAUAUAAAAUAUAUAUAGCAUACCUGGUAAAAAAGGAGUCUGACGAACUAAGAUAAUGGAUGAUUCAAAGAUACAGAGCGAGAGAGAGAAGCGAGGUACUAUUAUAAUGGAUGCUUCCUUUGUGUUUCGCCGAAUUAGAGUUGUGAUGGCAAAGAAAAAAUUUGGGCAAGUAUGAAAAAAAGAUGGAUAGAUCGAGAUUAGUUACAGAGGGAAGAGAAACCUAAAUCAUAUAUAUUAUUUAUACUCCGCAUUGAGUCGGUUGGGGGGUUGAGGGGUGUGGGGUUUUAGACAAACGUGAUUGGUUGCUAUUUUGGGUCCUGGCUUUAGUUGUUUUCGGUUAUGGGAGAAGAAUUGUUUGAAGAGACCAAUGUGUAAAUGUGUAAAGAAUUGUUGUUGUUCUUCUUCACCGCCAAAUGUGUACAAAUUGGAGAGAAGAAUACAGAAAAAAUUCUCAUCAUUAUCGUCUCUCUCUCUCUCUUAUUUCUCAGUUGGCUCAGUUGGAAUCAAAACCUUGAAUAAUUUUCCAUCAAUUCGAGGUUGGUGUUCAUCUUAUUCUGUUUCUCUUAAUCUUUUACAAGGACCUCCUCACCUAAUUCAAAACUUGGUGUUCUUCAAAUUAAGAAAAAAAUUUCUAAAUUUACU
rnacentral:lncRNA from 1 species